AACGUAGGACGCGAGCGUUAUCCGGAGUUACUGGGCGUAAAGCGCGGGCAGGCGGUCUGACAAGUCUGAUGUGAAAUCUCCGGGCUUAACCGGGAGAGGCCAUUGGAAACUGACAGGCUGGAGGGCAGUAGAGGUAGGCGGAAUUCCGUGUGUAGCGGUGAAAUGCGUAGAUAUCCGGAGGAACACCGGUGGCGAAGGCGGCUUCCUGGACCGACACUGACGCUGAGGCGCGAAAGCUAGGGGAGCAAACGGG
rnacentral:rRNA from 1 species